UACGUAGGGUGCGAGCGUUAAUCGGAAUUACUGGGCGUAAAGCGUGCGUAGGCGGUCCGCAAAGUCUGAUGUGAAAGCCCCGGGCUCAACCUGGGAACUGCAUUGGAAACUAACGGGCUCGAGUGUGGCAGAGGGGGGUGGAAUUCCACGUGUAGCAGUGAAAUGCGUAGAGAUGUGGAGGAACACCGAUGGCGAAGGCAGCCCCCUGGGCUAACACUGACGCUCAGGCACGAAGGCGUGGGGAGCAAACAGG
rnacentral:rRNA from 1 species